rnacentral:pre_miRNA from 1 species
UGAGGUAGUAGGUUGUAUAGUUUUGGGGUUACACCCUUCCUGUCAGAUAACUAUACAAUCUACUGUCUUUCC